rnacentral:lncRNA from 1 species
GCAUCAGCAACCCAGCAACCAGGAGAUUCUGGCACUUUCAGCCGCGCUGGGUGAAGGACUUGGGGAUCUUUAAAGGACAGGACGUUUUCUGUGUGUGUCCCUGCUCUGCUUGUGCCUACAAUAGCAACAGGACUUCCUAAUUAUUUGCAGAAAGACUCAAAGACUAAGCCAGACCUGAAAUAAACUUCCAGUGCCCACAGUACACAAAAUAAAAACAGGACUCCAUGUACCCUGUAUAGAGAGGAAUGGAGAUUGCCUCUGGCCACUUCAGUUGCUAAGCUGUCCUGCGGUGGUUCUGGCACAGGGAAGGGAGUGUUGAGGCCCAUCUGCCCGUCAGCAUCACAGCAU